AUGCCGUCCCCGCACAGGCAGCGCAGCGCGUCCCUGCUCCUCGUCAGCCGCAGGGCAGCCGCCGCGCGUCCCCCCGGCCGGGCGUCCCCAAACUGGGCACCCCGCAUCCCGCAGUGCCGGGAGGAAAGGGCAAAUUCUCCGUCUGCACCGGGAUUGCUAGGCGCUGCGACGGCCUGGACGCGCGCGAUGGGCCGCGUUGGCAGUUCUGCAGCGUUUGCUGCUGCCGCCGCCGCAUGCGCGCGGCUCAGCCCCCGUGCAUCGCCCAUCGGGAGCGCCAAAAAGACUCAUUUCCUAACCUCAGGCCGUGGCACUGGGCUGGAGCUGGGGGUUGUGCUCCGGGUGACCUGGGACAGCAACGCGCGCUUGCUCCGCGSCUGGCCAAGCCUCUGGGCACCCGUCCCAGCCUGCCCGAAACGCCGCCACCCCCCCGCGAGGCUUUCAGGGGCUCUUGCCCAGCCCCUGCCGCGCGGCAGCCCGCGGUUGCGCCUUCGCCUUGUUUGCUGUCGGGUCCUGCGCCCCAGGGACGUCGCCGCCAGCCUGCCAGCCUUUCCGACCGAAGCCACCGCCGUGCCUAACGCCGACUGCAAAGGAAAGGAGCGGCAGACGCUCCAGGAUAACAUCGUCUCCUGCCUGGUGGGAGUCAAAGAGAACUGCCUGCUUGUUCGUUUGGAGAGGUGCCUGCAGAGGAAAGGAGUUUCCGUCCCUGAAGUUCCUUCAACAAACUCUUGGACUGAGCAUUGUCUCCGCUCGACGGGAGCUGAGACUGCUCCGCCACGGAGAGGAGAAACCCGGCGUUUCACGGGAUCCAGCCUUUUCCCACCUAGGCUUUGGUUGCUUUGCUCUGCGGUGCCGCCGAGGGCAUGGCGCUCGGUGCCAGCGCAAGACCCGGCUUCAGCAGCUCAUCCCAGGGGGACUCGGAAGCAGAGAGCAAUGCUGUCUUCUGAGCAAGAGCCACGGCUUCCACCGACCAGCUGGGAGACCUCCCCGUCCACGCCCGAGGUCCUCCCGCCGUGCCGCGCUCUGGCACCCCAAGCCCAAAGCUCGCAGGGAGUUCAGCCGGGGACUGCAAGUGCACGGAGCAGGUCCAGGGCCAGUUUUGUGCCAGAAGCAUCUGAACAACAUACCAGAACCUGUUCUUGGCGAACCAGAGUCACGUCCCGGCCAUGCAGGGCAGCGUUCCAGCACCACCUUCCAGACAAAAUUAGCCCUUUUCUGGCCCAGCCCGCACGCCGAUCCAGCUGA
rnacentral:lncRNA from 1 species